ACUGUCCUUUUUCGGUUAUCACGGUACCGAUGCUGUAUAUGUGAAAGGUACAGUACUGUGAUAACUGAAGAAUGGUGGU
rnacentral:pre_miRNA from 1 species